GGGGGGAUAACGAUCCGGAAACGGGUGCUAAUACCGCAUAGUUUUCUUGAUCGCAUGAUCGGGAAAGGAAAGACGGCCUUUGUGCUGUCGCUUAUGGAUGGACCCGCGGCGUAUUAGUUAGUUGGUGAGGUAACGGCUACACCAAGACGAUGAUACGUAGCCGACCUGAGAGGGUGAUCGGCCACAUUGGGACUGAGACACGGCCCAAACUCCUACGGGAGGCAGGCAGUAGGGAAUCUUCCGCAAUGGACGAAAGUCUGACGGAGCAACGCCGCGUGAGUGAAGAAGGGUUUUUUCCGGAUCGUAAAACUCUGUUGUCAGAGAAGAACAAGUUGGAGAGUAACUGCUCCAGCCUUGACGGUAUCUGACCAGAAAGCCACGGCUAACUACGUGCCAGCAGCAGC
rnacentral:rRNA from 1 species